GAUUAAGUUAUUAAGGGCGCACGGUGGAUGCCUUGGCACUAGAAGCCGAUGAAGGACGUUACUAACGACGAUAUGCUUUGGGGAGCUGUAAGUAAGCUUUGAUCCAGAGAUUUCCGAAUGGGGAAACCCAGCAUGAGUUAUGUCAUGUUAUCGAUAUGUGAAUACAUAGCAUAUCAGAAGGCACACCCGGAGAACUGAAACAUCUUAGUACCCGGAGGAAGAGAAAGAAAAUUCGAUUCCCUUAGUAGCGGCGAGCGAAACGGGAAGAGCCCAAACCAACAAGCUUGCUUGUUGGGGUUGUAGGACACUCUAUACGGAGUUACAAAGGACGACAUUAGACGAAUCAUCUGGAAAGAUGAAUCAAAGAAGGUAAUAAUCCUGUAGUCGAAAAUGUUGUCUCUUAGUGGAUCCUGAGUACGACGGAGCACGUGAAAUUCCGUCGGAAUCUGGGAGGACCAUCUCCUAAGGCUAAAUACUCUCUAGUGACCGAUAGUGAACCAGUACCGUGAGGGAAAGGUGAAAAGCACCCCGGAAGGGGAGUGAAAUAGAACCUGAAACCGUGUGCUUACAAGUAGUCAGAGCCCGUUAAUGGGUGAUGGCGUGCCUUUUGUAGAAUGAACCGGCGAGUUACGAUUUGAUGCAAGGUUAAGCAGUAAAUGUGGAGCCGUAGCGAAAGCGAGUCUGAAUAGGGCGUUUAGUAUUUGGUCGUAGACCCGAAACCAGGUGAUCUACCCUUGGUCAGGUUGAAGUUCAGGUAACACUGAAUGGAGGACCGAACCGACUUACGUUGAAAAGUGAGCGGAUGAACUGAGGGUAGCGGAGAAAUUCAAUCGAACCUGGAGAUAGCUGGUUCUCUCCGAAAUAGCUUUAGGGCUAGCCUCAAGUGAUGAUUAUUGGAGGUAGAGCACUGUUUGGACGAGGGGCCCCUCUCGGGUUACCGAAUUCAGACAAACUCCGAAUGCCAAUUAAUUUAACUUGGGAGUCAGAACAUGGGUGAUAAGGUCCGUGUUCGAAAGGGAAACAGCCCAGACCACCAGCUAAGGUCCCAAAAUAUAUGUUAAGUGGAAAAGGAUGUGGCGUUGCCCAGACAACUAGGAUGUUGGCUUAGAAGCAGCCAUCAUUUAAAGAGUGCGUAAUAGCUCACUAGUCGAGUGACACUGCGCCGAAAAUGUACCGGGGCUAAACAUGUUACCGAAGCUGUGGAUUGUCCUUUGGACAAUGGUAGGAGAGCGUUCUAAGGGCGUUGAAGCAUGAUCGUAAGGACAUGUGGAGCGCUUAGAAGUGAGAAUGCCGGUGUGAGUAGCGAAAGACGGGUGAGAAUCCCGUCCACCGAUUGACUAAGGUUUCCAGAGGAAGGCUCGUCCGCUCUGGGUUAGUCGGGUCCUAAGCUGAGGCCGACAGGCGUAGGCGAUGGAUAACAGGUUGAUAUUCCUGUACCACCUAUAAUCGUUUUAAUCGAUGGGGGGACGCAGUAGGAUAGGCGAAGCGUGCGAUUGGAUUGCACGUCUAAGCAGUAAGGCUGAGUAUUAGGCAAAUCCGGUACUCGUUAAGGCUGAGCUGUGAUGGGGAGAAGACAUUGUGUCUUCGAGUCGUUGAUUUCACACUGCCGAGAAAAGCCUCUAGAUAGAAAAUAGGUGCCCGUACCGCAAACCGACACAGGUAGUCAAGAUGAGAAUUCUAAGGUGAGCGAGCGAACUCUCGUUAAGGAACUCGGCAAAAUGACCCCGUAACUUCGGGAGAAGGGGUGCUCUUUAGGGUUAACGCCCAGAAGAGCCGCAGUGAAUAGGCCCAAGCGACUGUUUAUCAAAAACACAGGUCUCUGCUAAACCGUAAGGUGAUGUAUAGGGGCUGACGCCUGCCCGGUGCUGGAAGGUUAAGAGGAGUGGUUAGCUUCUGCGAAGCUACGAAUCGAAGCCCCAGUAAACGGCGGCCGUAACUAUAACGGUCCUAAGGUAGCGAAAUUCCUUGUCGGGUAAGUUCCGACCCGCACGAAAGGCGUAACGAUUUGGGCACUGUCUCAACGAGAGACUCGGUGAAAUCAUAGUACCUGUGAAGAUGCAGGUUACCCGCGACAGGACGGAAAGACCCCGUGGAGCUUUACUGUAGCCUGAUAUUGAAAUUCGGCACAGCUCUUGUACAGGAUAGGUAGGAGCCUUUGAAACGUGAGCGCUAGCUUACGUGGAGGCGCUGGUGGGAUACUACCCUAGCUGUGUUGGCUUUCUAACCCGCACCACUUAUCGUGGUGGGAGACAGUGUCAGGCGGGCAGUUUGACUGGGGCGGUCGCCUCCUAAAAGGUAACGGAGGCGCUCAAAGGUUCCCUCAGAAUGGUUGGAAAUCAUUCAUAGAGUGUAAAGGCAUAAGGGAGCUUGACUGCGAGACCUACAAGUCGAGCAGGGUCGAAAGACGGACUUAGUGAUCCGGUGGUUCCGCAUGGAAGGGCCAUCGCUCAACGGAUAAAAGCUACCCCGGGGAUAACAGGCUUAUCUCCCCAAGAGUUCACAUCGACGGGGAGGUUUGGCACCUCGAUGUCGGCUCAUCGCAUCCUGGGGCUGUAGUCGGUCCCAAGGGUUGGGCUGUUCGCCCAUUAAAGCGGUACGCGAGCUGGGUUCAGAACGUCGUGAGACAGUUCGGUCCCUAUCCGUCGUGGGCGUAGGAAAUUUGAGAGGAGCUGUCCUUAGUACGAGAGGACCGGGAUGGACAUACCUCUGGUGUACCAGUUGUCGUGCCAACGGCAUAGCUGGGUAGCUAUGUGUGGACGGGAUAAGUGCUGAAAGCAUCUAAGCAUGAAGCCCCCCUCAAGAUGAGAUUUCCCAACUUCGGUUAUAAGAUCCCUCAAAGAUGAUGAGGUUAAUAGGUUCGAGGUGGAAGCAUGGUGACAUGUGGAGCUGACGAAUACUAAUCGAUCGAAGACUUAAUCAA
rnacentral:rRNA from 1 species